CACGUGGGCAAUCUGCCCUGCACUCUGGGACAAGCCCUGGAAACGGGGUCUAAUACCGGAUAAUACCUGCCGAGGCAUCUCGGUGGGUUGAAAGCUCCGGCGGUGCAGGAUGAGCCCGCGGCCUAUCAGCUUGUUGGUGGGGUGAUGGCCUACCAAGGCGACGACGGGUAGCCGGCCUGAGAGGGCGACCGGCCACACUGGGACUGAGACACGGCCCAGACUCCUACGGGAGGCAGCAGUGGGGAAUAUUGCACAAUGGGCGAAAGCCUGAUGCAGCGACGCCGCGUGAGGGAUGACGGCCUUCGGGUUGUAAACCUCUUUCAGCAGGGAAGAAGCGAAAGUGACGGUACCUGCAGAAGAAGCGCCGGCUAACUACGUGCCAGCAGCCGCGGUAAUACGUAGGGCGCAAGCGUUGUCCGGAAUUAUUGGGCGUAAAGAGCUCGUAGGCGGCUUGUUGCGUCGGAUGUGAAAGCCCGGGGCUUAACCCCGGGUCUGCAUUCGAUACGGGCAGGCUAGAGUUCGGUAGGGGAGAUCGGAAUUCCUGGUGUAGCGGUGAAAUGCGCAGAUAUCAGGAGGAACACCGGUGGCGAAGGCGGAUCUCUGGGCCGAUACUGACGCUGAGGAGCGAAAGCGUGGGGAGCGAACAGGAUUAGAUACCCUGGUAGUCCACGCCGUAAACGUUGGGAACUAGGUGUGGGCGACAUUCCACGUCGUCCGUGCCGCAGCUAACGCAUUAAGUUCCCCGCCUGGGGGAGUACGGCCGCAAGGCUAAAACUCAAAGGAAUGACGGGGGCCCGCAC
rnacentral:rRNA from 1 species